GCUUUCUAAGGAACUAUUACACAAUGAAAAUAAUGAGUAUAAAGAAUUACAUUCAUACAAUAUAUACACAAAUCAACAGCUAUGUCCCAAAUCUGAUGCCAUAUACUAGUGGCCAUUAGAAACAAGUAAAUAAGUUAUUUCCAGCAGUGAAGUGAGUUUUCCUUACUUGAACAAGAUCCUUCUGCCAAGAACCAAAUCUAAUUUUUAAAAACUUAAACUAGUCAGUCUCACAUAUAAAUAUACUUUAUCAACCACCUCUUCCCCCUAAAAGAAAAAACAACAGAAAAUAAAAACAGAAGUUGUAAAUUGCUGCUCUUACCCAGGUGUAAAAUGGCAGUUAAAUUAGUUACUCAGAUGUAGUUUGCUGAUGGGGCUCUAAAUGGCGGCGUCCUGACUUAGUCAUGGAUAGUGUUCAUGGAACCUAUUCAAUGUGCCAUGCCCGCCUCAGUGCUACUUGAUGUAAGCAGAAAACAGCAAAUACAGCCUAAAUAGUACCUAUCAUAUUACUAACGUUCCCUAGCUAGUUUAAAAUCUUUCAAGAAAUUUCCUUAUUACCCAACUAAAGAAACUAACAUGGGCCAGGUGCAGUGGCUCACGCCUGUAAUCCCAGCACUUUGGGAGGCCAAGGCGGGCAGAUCACCUGAGGUCAGGAGUUCGAGACUAGCCUGGCCAAUAUGAUGAAACCCUGUCUCUACUAAAAAUGCAAAAAAUAGCCAGGCGUGGUGGUGCACUCCUGUAAUUCCAGCUACUUGAGAGGCUGAGAUGGGAGAAUUGCUUGAACCCAGGAGGCAGAGGCUGCAGUGAGCCGAGACUGUGCCACUGCACUCCGACCUGGGUGACAGAGAGAGACCCCUUCUCAAAAAAACAAAAACAAGAAAACAACCAGACAGGCAAGAAACCUGGCAAGACUUAGGAACCACCAUGUCAUCCAGGGGAAGGAGAAACGGGCCCUGUCCAGCUCUUCUGCCUCAACCACACUGGGCGUACAAUUCAAUUCUGGCACCAACUACCCCAUGCUACGGGCUCAGUCCUCCAUAGAAAUGCUGCUGCAGAGGUCCUCCCACUACCCACACUUCUGACCAACUAGUAACUAAUACAGGAGGUUUCCACUGCACCCUCAAGUUUGUUCACUAGAAUGACUCACAGAGCUCAGGAAAGUAAGUGCUCAAAUUAGGAUUUCAGUUUUAUUAUAAAGGAUACAUGUAGAAUGGGGUCUGGGAGGCAAGGCAGUUUCUGUGUCCUCUCCUUGAGGAAUCAGGGCUAUCUCCCUCCCAGCACAUGUGUUUCCUAACCUGGCAGCUCCACUGAACUUCAGUGUCCAGAGUUUUUACUGGGGUUUCAUUAUGUAGGUAUGAUUGACUAAACCACAGGCCACACAAUAUAGCUCAGUCUCCAGCCCUCUUUCCUGCCCUCCUUGGAGGUCUGGCUAGCUCAAAGUCCCAACCAUGUAGGGACUUGGUUUGGUCUUUCUGGGGGACCAUGCUCCAUCUUGAAGCUAUCUAGGGACCCACUGCCAGUCACUUCAUUAGCAUAAUAAAGACACUCCUACUACUCAAAUUCCAGGGUCUUUAGAAGCUCUGUGCCAGGAACCUGGAAAAAACAUCAAACAAAAAAAAAAUUUUUUUUUUGAGACAGGGUCUUUCUCUGUCACCCAGGCUGGAGUACAGCGGUGCAAUCAAAGCUCACUGCAUCCUCAAAAUCCUCGGCUCAAGUGAUUCUCCUGUCUCAGCUUCCUGAGAAGUUGGGACUACAGUUGUGUGCCACCACACUCAACUGACACUUUUUUUUGGAGAUGGAGUUUCUCUCUUGUUGCCUAGGCUGGAGUGCAAUGGUGUGAUCUCAGCUCACCACAACCUCUGCCUCCUGGGUUCAAGUGAUUCUCCUGCCUCAGCCUCCUGAGUAGCUGGGAUUACAGGCAUGUGUCACCACACCUGGCUAAUUUUGUAUUUUUAGUAGAGACGGGGUUUCUCCAUGUUCAUCAGGCUGGUCUCGAACUCCUGACCUCAGGUGAUCUGCCUGCCUCAGCCUUCCAAAGUGCUGGGAUUACAGGCGUGAGCCACUGCAUCCAGCCAACAAAUUCUUUAUUAUGCAACACCAGCACACAUAAUCUGGACACAGGGAAAAGUCACUGGGCUUCAUGAGGGCCUGGAAAUAUGCCCCCUCAACACAUGACUAGACCCUGUGAUCUUACUCUCAACCUCUGCACACUUUCUAGCUAUCUUCAGGGACCUAGAUGCUAGAAAGAUUGGGCCUCUCAGAAAAUACUGAUGACUAGCAACCAUUUCCAUUUGGUAAAUAAACUAGCAUUCUGUUUAUAGUUUAAAACAUUUUAAAGCAGAGACAUGUAUAAUUUCUAAAAAAUCCAUUAUAUGAACAGGUGCAAGUUUAUAAUCUUUUGUAUAUUUGAAUUUUUAAAAACAAUACUGAUUUUUAACAAUAUUAUUCGCAUACCAUUCACAUAUGUAAAGUGUGAAGUUUACAUUUUAUAUUCAGAGUUGUAUAAGCAUCACCACAAUAAAUUUUAAAAUAUUUUCAACACCUCCUCCCAAAACUCCAUACCCAUUCCCAUUCCUCUCCCUCCCUGCACCCAGUUCCUGGCAAUCACUAGUCUACUUUGUCUCUAUAGAUCUAUUUUCUAGACAUUUCCUAGAAAUGGAAUCAUGUAAUACAUGGCUUUUGUCACUGGCUUCUUCCAUGUAAGGUGUUUUCAAGGUUCAUUUAUGCUACAGCAUAUAUCAGUACUCCAUUCCUUUUUAUGGCUGAAUAAUAUCCCACUGUAUAUGGAUAUACAAUAUUUUAUUGAUUCAUUAAUCAGAUGAUGUGCAUGUGAGUUGUUUAUAUCUUUUGGCCAUUAUGAAUAAUGUUAUAAACAUUCAUGCACAAGUUUUUGUAUAAAUAAAUGGUUUCAUUUCUCUUGGGUAUAUACCUGGGAGUCAAACUGCUAGGUCAUAUGGUAACUCUAGCCUUUUGAGUAACUGGUAGACUGUCUUCCAAAGCAGUUUCACCAUUUUACACUCCUACAGCAGGGAUCCAAUUCCUCCUCAACCUCAUUAACACUUCUUUUACUGUGUUUUCAUACAGCUAUCCUAGUGGAUACAAUGUAGUAUCUCUUUGUGGGUUUAAUUUGCAUUUUCCCUAAUGGCUAAUGAUGCUGGGCAUUUUUUCAUAAACUCAUUGGUUAUCUGUAUAUUUUCUACAGAGAACUGUCUAUUCAGAUCAUUUUCUCAUUUUUAGAUUUGGUUAUCUGCCUUUUUUAUUAAGUUCUAGAAGUUAUUUAUAUAUAGAUACAAGCCCCUUACCAAAUAUAUAAUGUGCAAUUAUUUUCUCCCAUUCCACAAGUUAUCCUUUUACUUUCCUAAUAAUGUUAUUUAAGCAAAAAAGUUAUUAAUUUUGAUGAAGAACCACUUAUCUAUUUUUUCUUUGGUUGCUUGUGCUUUUGGUGGCAUAUCUAAAAUAACACUGACUAAUCCAAGGUCAUAAAGACUUGCAUCUAUGUUUACUUCUAAGAAUUUUAUAAAUUAGCUCUUAAGUUUGGGUCUUUGAUCCAUUUUGAGUUAAUUUUUGUAUAUGGUUUGAGGUAGGGGUCCACCUACAUUGUUCUGCAUGGAAAGAUCCAGUUGUCCCACUACUGUUUAAAAAACUAUUUGUUGGCCAGGCACAGUGGCUCAUGCCUAUAAUCCCAGCACUUUGAGAGGCCGAGGCAGGCAGAUCACCUGAGGUCAGGAGUUCGAGACCAGCCUGGCCAACAUGGUGAAAACCAGUCUCUACUAAAAUUACAAAAAUUAGCUGGGCAUGGUAGCAUGUACCUGUAAUCCUAGCUACUUAGGAGGCUGAGGUGGGAGAAUCGCUUCAGCCUAGGAGGCAGAGGUUGCAGUGAGCCAAGAUUGUGCCAUUGCACUCCAGCCUGGGUGUCAGAGUGAGACUCUGUCUCAAAAUAAAACAAAAAACAAAAACAAAAACCCGAUGAACAUGUACUGUUUUAAUAAAAUGUAUGCACAUAUAUGUAUGUAUACACACACUCUCACAUUUUAUAUAAUUAAAAUUAUUGUAAUAUAAAAGAUUAAACAAGAUUAAAUAACCUGCCUAAGAUUAACCUACCAGUAAAAGAAAUAGACCAGUAUCUCUCCAUGUCUGGCCUGCUCUCCCAGGGAGUCUCAAGCUCUAUUGUCUUUUCUAUUAAAACUCCCAUUCUCUAAAUAAAAAUGUCUCAUUCAAGUAUUCUGUGUUACUCAGGGUGAUAGAAAUUCACAUGUGAAUAAUAUCUGCUGCUUCUCUACAAGAGUUCAGUUAUUACAAAUGACAAAUAUGUAAACAAUGAAUUAUAGAUACUGGAUGCUAGGAAAAAAAACAAAAAGAAUCCUCUCUAGCAGGAAGAGGAAGAAAAGGGACAUCAGAGAAGGCCACCCAGAAAUAAGGUAGUUGGCUCACCAAAGAUGGAGAGGAGGAGGGAGCUCUGGGUCAAAGACUAGGUGAUGAGAUGGAGUACCACAGCAGGAGCAGUCAGGUGAGCACAGCUUUGCUUCUCUCAGUAUGCAUGAGCCCCUGGUGCCAAGCAACUAGCAACAGUAGCAGCAGCAUCUGCUUGAAGUGGGAACAGGGAGCUUGGGCUGGAAAAGUGGGCCAUGUUCUGAAUGGGUUGGUGAAAGGUUACAGGAGCAGACAGCCUCCACACCCAGGCUGCUCUUGGCUAUACAGGCUACCUCCAUCCCUGAAUGUUGUAAUAGGAAAGUCUAAACACACAGAAGAGGAGCACAAAACCAAUAAUUAUCACACAUUCAAAAUAAAACUAAUCCAUAAAGAAAAGUACCAAACUCAACAAAGACAGCAAUGCCUGAAAACACUGGGCUGUAUCAGCAAAUAGAACAAAGAAAAAUAAGCAUAAUUAAAACAGUAGAAGGUGAAGGAUAAUUUUUAAAAAUUAGAUAUCAUAUUCUGAUUAUUGAAAUAAAAAACUUAGUAGAAAAGCUUAACUGAAGAAGAAUCAAAACUGAAGAAGAACCCAGACAGUUAUGAAAAUGAAAAAGCAAACCAAAGACUGGGAAAAAAUAUUUGCAAAACAUAAAAUAAAUGACUCACUCCUAUCUAGAAUAUAUGAAGAACUUUUACAACAAAACAUAUUACUUAUUUUAUUUUAGAGACAGGGUCUCGUUCUGCUGCCCAAGCUGGAGUGCAGUGGCACAAUCAAUCAUAGCUCCCUGCAGCCUCAAACUCCUGGGCUCAAGCAAUCCUCCUGCCCCAGCCUCCCCAGUAGCUAGGACUACAGGCACAUACCACCGUGCCCAGCUAAUUAAAAAAAAUUUUUUUUGUACAGAAGGGGGUCUUCUUAAGAAAAUUUUUUUUUUUUGUAAUUUUACUAGAGAUGGGGUUUCACCAUAUUGGCCAGGCUGUUCUUGAAUUCCUGACUUCAAGUGAUCCUCCUGCCUCGGCCUCCCAAAGUACUAGAAUUACAGGCGUGAACCAUCAUCCCCAGCCGAGAAGGGGAUUUUGCUCUGUUGUCCAGGCUGCUCUCAAACUCCUGGACUCAAGUGAUCCUCCCACCCUGGCCUCCCAAAGUGCUGGGGUUAGAAGUGUGAGCCACCGCACCCAGUCCAAGACACAUUUUUUGAAGCAGGCAAAAGAUCUGAACCGAAACUUCACCAAGAUGUAAGGAUUGCAAAAAUAAGCCCAUAAAAAGUGUGUUCCAAAUCAUUAGUCACCAGGGAAGAGAAAUCAAAACUAUAAUGAGCUCCACUACAUACCCACCAGAAUGCUAGAAAUUUUAAAGACUGACCGUACCAUGUAAUGACCCAGAAGUGGAGCAACUGAAACUCUCACAUCCUGCUGGUGGGAAUGUUUUUUGUUGCUGUUGUUGUUUUUAAAAAGAAAAAGAAAAGUUUGACAAUUUUUUGAAAAGUUAGCAACAUGCACACCUACCAAAAGAUCCAGCCAAUCUACUUCUAGAUAUUUACCCAAGAAAAAUAAAAGCCCAUGUUCACACAGUAGGGAAAUGUGAAUGUUCAGACACUUUAUUUAUAAUCACUGAAAACUGCAAACAACCCAAAUAUCCACCAACAGUUGAAUUAAUAAAUUUGGCUAUAUCCAUACAAUGCAAUACUAUUCAGCAAUAAGAACUGUGGAUACACAUGGAAACACAGAUGGAUCUCAAAAUAAUUAUGCUAAAGAAAAAAGAGGCGGGACGCAGUGGCUCACGCUUGUAAUCCCAGUACUUUGAGAGGCUGAGGCAGGUGCAUCACCUGAGGUCAGGAGUUAGAGACCAGCCUGGCCAACGUGGUGAAACCCAGUCUCUACUAAAAAUACAAAAAAUUAGCCAGGCAUGGUAGCGGGCACCUGUAAUCCUAGCUACUCGGGAGGCUGAGGCAGGAGAAUUGCUUGAACACGGGAGGCAGAGGUUGCAGCGAGCUGAGAUCACGCCACUGCACUCCAGCCCGGGCAACAGGGUAAGAGUCCAUCUUAAAAAAAAAAAAAAAAAAGAAAAGAAAGAAAAAAGAGACAAUAACAUGCACAGGAGCUGUCAUCUCCUAUGAGACCCUCCCCCCAAAAAAAACAUAAAGCAUGAUUCCACAUACAGACAUACACCACGUAACAUUUCAGUCAGUGACAGACUGCAUACACAACAAUAGUCCCAUUAAGAUCAUAAUAAAGCUGAAAAAUUCCUAUGGCCUAGUGAUGUCGCAACACAAUGCAUUACUCACGUGUCUGUAGCAAUGCUGGUAUAAACAAACCUACCAGUCACAUAAAAGUCUAGUAUGCAACAACUGUGUACAAUGCAUAAUACUUAAUAAUGAUAAUAAACUGCUAUGGGUUUAUAUAUUUACUAUGCUAUACUUUUUGUUGUUAUUUUAUAGUGUACUCCUUCUACUUACAAAGUUAACUGUAAAAAGCCUCAGGCAAUCCUUCAGGAGGUAUCCAGAAGAAGGCAUUGUCAUCACAGAGGACAGCCCCAUGCGUGUUGCUGCCCCUGAAGACCUUCCAGUGGGGCAAGAGAUGAAGGUGGAAGACGGUGAUACUGAUGAUUCUGACUCUGUGUAGGUCUAGGCUAAUGUGCAUGUUUGUGUCUUAGUUUUUAACAAAAAAGUUUAAAAAGUUAAAACUUUUAAAUAGAAAAAAUGUUAUAGAAUAAGGAUAUAAAGAAAAUAUUUUUAUGCAGCUGUACAAUGUGUUUGUGCUUUAAAAGCUAAGUGUUAUUAAAAGUAUAUAAAGUCGCUGGGUAUGAAGGCUCACACCUGCAAUCCCAUAGCUUUGGGAGGCUGAGAUGGGAAGAUUGCUUGAAGCCAGGAGUUCGAGACCAGCCUGGGCAACAUAGCAAGACCCCAUCUCAAUUAAAAAAAAAAAUUGUAAAAAGUUACAGUAAGCUAAGGUUAUUACUGAAGUAAAAAAAAUUUUAAUAAAUUUAGUGUAGCCUAAGUGUACAGUGUUUAUAAAGUCUACAGUAGGGUACAGUAAUGUUCUAGGCCUUCACAUUCACUCACCACUCACUCACUGCAACUGUAGUCCUGCAAGCUCCAUUCAAGGUCAGUGCCCUAUACAGGUAUACCAUUUUUUAUGUUUACAUGGUAUUUUUACUGUACCUUUUCUAUGUUGAGAUAUGUUUACAGACAAAUACUUACCAUUGUGUUACAAUUGCUAACAGUAUUCAUCCAGUAACAUGUUGUACAAGUUUGCAGCUAGGAGCAACAGUCUAUACCAUAUGGCCUAUAUGUCUAGAGGGCUAUGCCAUCUAGAUUUGUGUAAGUCCACUUUAUAAUGUCUGCACAACAAUGAAAUCAAUGAACACAGCUAAGCACAUUUCUCAGAAGGCAUGGCUGUAUUUAAUACAGACUGUCAAAAAGCAGAUUUUUGCUUGGAGCCUGGGAAGGUAAGAACAGAGAUGGGUUACAAAGUGCCAAGAGGGAAUGUUUGGGGUGAUAAAUGUUCAUUAUCUUGAUUACAGUGACAGUUUCAUGAAUACAGCAUAUGCACACACAUAUACAUGAGUGUAUACCAAAACUUCAAAUAUGUGCAGUUUAUUGUAUGUUAAUUAUACCUCAAUAAAGCUGUUAAAGACAAACAAAAACUUAACCUCAGGAGAACUGGUCAAGCUGAAGAAAAAUUCAGUGAGCUAAAGAUCAAGUCAGGUAUUCUAUGACAGUGGGCUAACAGAGAAGGAGUAUAUGAAAAAUUGUUGAGACAUUGGGGAGAGAACCAGAAAUACAAACAAAUCUAAUAGGAACUCCACAGGAAAAGAGGGUGGGGCAAGAACUCUCAAAGAAAUAACAAGCUUGUGUCUAGAUUGGAAAUGUUAAAAAAUACUGGAAAACAUCCUAUACCUAGAAAUAAAAAGGUAAAAUUUUAGAACAUCAAGAAUAAAGAGAGCUGGGUGUGGUGGCUCACGUCUGUAAUCUUAGCACUUUAGGAGGCCAAGGCGGGUGGAUAGCUUGAGAUCAGGAGUUCGAGACCAGCUUGGCCAACAUGGUGAAACCCCGUCUCUACUAAAAAUAAAAAAAUUAGUCAGGUGUGGUGGUGCGUGCCUGUAAUCCCAGCUACUCGAGAGGCUGAGGCAGGAGAAUUGCUUUAACCUGAGAGGUGGAAGCUUGUGGAGGCUGCAGUGAACCAACGGCACCACUGCACUCCAGCCUGGGUGAGAAAAAGAAAAAACUAAGGCCAAGAGGAAAACUACAUAAGGCAAUGGUGAGCAGAGAUCUGCUAAGACUUACUGGUAACAUCUAAGAUGUUUUAAUUGCUUUUCCUUAUCAAUUCUGAGGAAUAAGUUGCAUAUAGUAAGUUUCCUCCAUUUCAGGUAUACAAUUCCAGUUAGUUUUGACCGUUGUAUAAUCUGUGAAGCUACCGCUCCAUUAAAGAUAUAGAACAUUACCAUCAUGUCCAAAACGUUCCUUGUACCCCUUUGCAAUCUACACACCCUUCCCCAGGCAGCCAAUGAUUUUGUCACUGUGUUUGUAUUUUACAUAAGGCUAAAGUUUUAAAUUUGUCUAUAUUCGAUAACUGUUUUUUUUUUUUUUUUUUUUUUUUUGAGACAGUCUCACUGUCACCCAGGCUGCAUGCAGUGGCUCGAUCUCCACUUGCUGCAGCCUCUGCCUCCCAGUUCAAGCAAUAUUUGUGCCUCAGUCUCCUGAGUAGCUGGGAUUACAGGCGUGUGUCACUGCGCCCAGCCUAUAUUCAAUAACAAUUUGUAAUUAAAAUGUCAAUAAUAUGGCAGGAAUAAUUUAAAAGUGGUAAUAAUAAAGGACAUUAUCAGAGUCAGUUAAAAAAUCCACUUAAUGCUGUUAUAGAAGACAAUCUAAAAUUAAACACCAAUGGUUGAAAUAAACAGGAAAAUAAAAUAGGUCUUGGCUAACAAAAGAAAUGUAGAUAUGGCAUUAUUACUGUAUGCAAACUAGAAUUCAAGUAAAAAAGCAUUUGCAAGGGUGAAGAUACUGUGUAUUUAAUAAAAGUAAAUAAAAACACAUAAAGAAGAUACAGCAUAAUAGCCAUGAACCUCUGUGAUGCUAAGUGGCUUCAAAUGAUUAAAGCAAAAGCAGAGUUAUAAAAUUCACCACAAUCAUGACCAGAGAUGUUAACAUACCUCUCCAGAAACCCACAGAUUGAGUAAAGGACAAUAAAAAGGGCAAUAUGUAUUUUUAAAACACAACAGUUACCUAGUAUACGUAGAACUUUGUAGUCACCAAGAAAUGUACUCUCUACAAACUUGGAGCACUGUCCCCAAACUGACCAUGACUUACAUUACAAAAACAAAACACAAUUCAAAACUAAAAAACAUUAAAAAAAAAAAAGAGGCCACAUUCUCUAACAUCUCAAAAUAAAUACAUUAGAAAUUAACAAUACAAAUUUAGAAAGUUGUAUCUCAAUCCCUGAAUUAAAAAAACACAGAUAUCCAAAAAUUCAAAAUAAUGUAAUCAGAGCAGAACUCAAAGUAAAACCCAUAGCCCUAGAUGCAUUCAUUAAAACAUCAUUAAAAUAUACGACUAACAAAAAAGCCAGAUUUUUAGCUCAAGACUAAAAUAAAUACAAAGAAAGUAGGAGAGAUUUAAGAUGAAAACACAAGUUAAUGGACACAAAAUGUAAUGAAAAACCACACCAAAACCAUUCAAUACAUUUAAAUAAUAAAUCAACUUGAUCAAAAGUGUUUUCAAUUAGUAAAUGUGAAAACAGAUGAAAUAUAAAAUUUUUUAGGAAAAUUAAAAUGUUCAAACCAUGAAUUUUUACAAAAAAGAGGUUUACCCCAGUAAAAGACACCAAGUCUAAAUGGCUUUAGUUGGUUCUCUCAAAAUGGAAAGAACAGACUAUUUUCUAUACAUAAACUAUUCUUUGUGUAUGCUCUGUAAGUUACCUUAAUGGUUUUUAUAAGGCUUGCACUAUUUGGAUACUAAAACUGAACAGGUAGUAUUGACACAAAUUUACACAUGUAUUUUACUUUACAAUCACGAAUACAGAGCCUACUAUAUAGUGUGAUGAUACACAGGAAUCAAGAUACAGAUCAACAAAACAAUAUCCUAAAAAGAAUCCAUAUAAAAUGGAAUUUUUCAUUUAACAAAGUUGCCAAUUCAUAUCAUUGGGGAAAUGAUGGAUUAUACAACAUAUAGGGAUAAGUGAUUAAGAAAAGAACAUAGAAGACUGUUAAAUCUGUGAUAAUGUUCAUUUAAAACCAUUACAAUUAAAAAAAUAAACCAAAGUAAGAGUUAAGAGACAAGAGAACAAAAAGAUGAGUCCAUAAAGAAUAUUUACAAGUAUAACAAAGGCUUAAUAUUCAAAGUGUAUCAAAAUUUCCUUUAACCAGUAAGAACAUAACACAGACUGGGGGCCGUGACUCACCCCUGUGAUCCCAGCACUGUGGGAGGCUGAGGCAGGCAGAUCGCUUCAGCUCAGGAGUUUGAGACCAGCCUGGGCAACAUGGCAAAACCCAGUCUCUACUAAAAAUACAAAAAUUAGGUGGGCGUGGUGGCUCACGUCUGUAAUCCCAGCACUGUGGGAGGCAGAGGUGGGCAGAUCACUUGAGGUCAAGAGUUCGAGACCAGCCUGGGCAACAUGGCAAAACCCAGUCUCUACUAAAAAUACAAAAAUUAGGUGGGCGUGGUGGCUCACGCCUGUAAUCCUAGCACUGUGGGAGGCUGAGGCGGGCAGAUCACUUGAGGUCAAGAGUUCGAGACCAGCCUGGCCAACAUGGUGAUCCGCCUGCCUCGGCCUCCCAAAGUGCUGGGAUCACAGGCAUGAGCUAUUGUGCCCACUCAGAACAAUAUAUUCAUAAAAAUAAAUACAUAUUAUAAACUGGCAAUUCCAUUUCUCAGUUUAUCCUAGAUAAAAAGUUGCACUGCAGCAAUUUUUAAGAUAAAAAUUGGAAACAAUUUAAACAUUCAUCAGAAAGAAAUAUAUAUAUUCUAUAGUAUAAUCUCCACACUAUGGAAUAUUAUGUGAUAUGAUUUGUCACUGUGCUCCACCCAAAUCUCAUCUCAAAUUGUAAUCCCCACAUGCUGGGGGAGGGGCCUGGUGGGAGGUGACUGAAUCAUGGGGGGCAGACUUCUCCCUUGCUGUUCUUGUGAUAAUGAGUUCUCAUGAGUCUGGUUGUUUGAAGGUGUGUGGCACUUCCCCCUUGGCUCUCUCUCUCUCCUGCCACCAUGUAAGAAUAAGAAGUGCCUUGCUUUCCCUUUGCCUUCUGCCAUGAUUGUAAGUUUCCUGAAGCCUCCCCAGCCAUGUGGAACUGUGAGUGUAUUAGUCUCUUCUCAUGCUGCUAAUAAAGACUUAUCAGAGACUGGAUAAUUUAUAAAGGAAAGAGGUUUAAUUGACUCAGUUCCACAUGGCUGGGGAGGCCUCACAAUCAUGGCAGAAGGUGAAUGAGAAGCAAAGUCACAUCUUACAUGGCGGCAAGCAAGACAGCGUGCGCAGGGGAACUCCCAUUUAUAAAACCCACCAGAUCUCAUGAGACUUACUCACUAUCUCAAGAAGAGCACAAGAAAGACCUGCCCCCAUGAUUCAAUUACCACCCACUCAGUUCCUCCCAUGGCAUGUGGGGAUUAUGGGAGCUACAAUUCAUGAUGAGAUUUGGGUGGGGACACAGCCAAGCCAUAUCAUGUGAGUCAAUUAAACCUCUUUUCUUUAUAAAUUACCCAGUCUCAGGUAGUUCUUUAUAGCAGUGUGAAAAUAGACGAAUACAUUAUGCUAUGAAAAGGAAUGACACAAACCUAUAUAUACAGCCAAAACAUAUUAAGUGAAAAAAAAUCAAGUUCCAGAACAUAUGAGUUUCCUAUUACUCAGGUAAAGGUAGACAAGAACCUACUUAUUUCUAUAUACUCCACAUAUAUACAGAAACAUGUUUAUAUACAUAUAUAAAAAUGGUGCUGAAAAAAGGACUGACAGGAAACCUGAUAGUCAUCUGUAGGAAACACUCUGAGACUGGUGAAGGAGGUAGAGAGAAACACACGAAUGUAUUCAUAUUCUCCAACACUCAAUUAGGAAUGUUUACCCAUGCACAGAAAAGUUGAGUGAAACCUAAAAGUGAACACCCAUAAACCCAUCAAGAUUCUACAAUUAACAUUUUACUGUAUUUAUCUCAUUUUAAAGAUUCAAGUUGCAAACAUCAGAGAACAAUUCAGCAUGCGUAUUAACUAAAAUUGAGAAAAAAUGCAUAUUCAGUGAAAUACACAAAUCUCCAAUAUACCACUUAAUGAGUUUUGACAAAUGCAUUCACUUAUGAUCCAAAGCCCUAUUCAAGAUACAGAACACUUAUCAUCACCCUGAAAGUUCCGUCACGUCCCUUCCUAGUCAUUCUCCCUGUCCACUGCCCUAAAGGCAACCACCGUUCUGGGUUUUUUUUUCCAGCAUAGGUAAGAAUUGCUUAUUUUAGAAUUUCACAUAAAUAAAACCAUAUAGUAUGUACUCUCUUUGGUAAGGCUUUCGUUCGCAGUCAACCUGUGAGAUUCAUCACAUUUUGUACAUCUGUAGUUCAUUCCUUUUUACCAUUGAGUAGUAUUCCAUUGUGUAGACAUGCAAGUUUAUCUAUCGCCUAGCUGAUAAAAACCUGAACUGUUCCCAGUUUGGAACUAUUAUGAAUAGGGCUACUAUGAAUAUUUUUGUACAAGAGCAUUUUGUGAACGUAUGUUUUCAUUUCUCUUGGAUAAACACACCUAAGAGUAGAACUGCUGGCUCAGGGGGUGGGUAUAUAUUUACCUUUAUAAGACACUGCCGGACCUUUAUGGAUAUGCCACAUAUUACCUUUUAAAAAGCAUUUACACACUUAACGGGGGUUACCCAGGGAAGAAGCUGAGGAUGAUGUUGGACUUACUGAUAUUCACAUCUGUACUGUAAAAAUAAUGGUGUUACUUUUGUUAUAAGAAAAGAACAAAGCCAAGAGUCCACAUCCCAUUUAAGACCAGUUCAGAUUUCUUGAGUCAGACUACACUGACCACUCACCAACUCUAACUUCUAAAGCAAACCACGGCUGCUGCUAUUUUUGUAAAUAAAAUGCUAGCCAUGCCCGUUAGUUCUAUGGCCAAUUUCAAGCUACAGUAAUGGAGUUAGGUAGUUGCAACAAACACCGUGUGGUCAGCAAAGCCAACAAUAACGUGGUCCUUUGAAUCUUGCUGCCUCCCAUUCUAAAGCAUUUAUAUAGGUAGGCUUUGUUUGUAAUUUCAAAGUUACAUUUGAAACUAUCUCAUACAAUGUCUUUUUUCUUUUUUUUGAGGUAUGGUCUCACUCGGUCAACCAGGCUGGAGUGCAGUGGCACAAUCAUGGCUCACUGCAGCCUUGACCUCCCAGGCUCAAGUGAUUGUCCAGCCUCAACCUCCUGAGUAGCUGGAACCAAAGAUGUGUGCUAACACAGCCAGCUAAUUUUUUAAAAUUAUUUUUUGUAGAGAUGGGGUCUCCUUAUGUCAUCGAGGCUGGUAUUGAAUUCCUGGCCUAAAGUAGUCCUCCCAUCUUGGCCUCCCAAAGUGCUGGGCUAAAAGGCAUGAGCCAUCACAUCUGGCUGAACUUUUUUCUUUUAUAGAGGAAACAAGGCUAAGAGAUCUUGAGUUAUCUAAGCUUUAACAGAGAUGUGGAACUAGAAUUUAGGUCUAUGAGUCCUAUCUGGUCAUCUUCUCAGUAUACUGGUGUAUUCUGAGAUGCAUCAAGUAAAAAUAUAUAAACCUACCAGUUCACUUUUUAUUAUGAUGCCCUAUCUGGAAACUUUAAAAAUUAAUUAGAAAUGUAGUAGAGCAGAGCCAUUGUGAGCUGGGUGAUAGAAUUACACCUUUAUAUACAGAUACAACAUUUUAGAUGUUAUAGGAAAUAAGUGGUAUUAUUUCCACCUGAGCAUAUCAGAGAAGGCUUAUGGCAGAGCCAGCACUGAAGCUAGGUCUGUGAAAUAAGGAAGAAUUCGUGUGCACAGAACGAAGAGAUUGGGGAAGGAACAGACAGGGGUUCCAGACUAAGGGUCUUAGAUACAUCCGUGUAGCUACAACAUAGGGUGCAUAAUGGGGUGUGGGCAAGGUGGGAAACGAUGGGUUACUUAGGGUUGGAAACAGCUCCACGCCCACAUACAAUAAACCUGGAAUGCCAGACUCUCUGGAACUUACCUAAACUUUCUGGAAGCAGUAGGGACCCAAACACAGUUUUGGGGUACAGAAGGUAAUAUGAUCAAAGCUGCUGCCUUAGAAAUAACCCGACAGCAGUGGGCUACAUUGCUUAAGUCACAAUGAUUCUCACUGAUUCUUUGGAUCUUACUGGAGAUGCACCAGUAGUUAAGACCCACUUUCCCCAGGGUCAACAACACUACAGGGGUGUGUGUGUGUGUGUGUGUGUGUGUGUGUGUGUGUGUGUGUGUUUUAACGCAGCAGAUAAAAGCUGGAAAGCCAAUCGUCUAUUUGAAGCUGGAACAACUGUGAAACAAUUACAAAGAUCUUCAUCUGGUGCUUCAAGUUUUUAAAUCACAGAGUUUAUAAGAAAAGGCAUGCGCUGGUCAGGCACAGUGGCUCACAUCUGUAAUCCCAGCACUUUGGGAGGCUGAGGCAGACAGAUCACCUGAGGUCAAGAGUUCGAGAUCAGCCUGACCAAUAUGAUGAAAUCCCAUCUCUACUAAAAAUACAAAAAUUGCCAGGCAUGGUGACAUGUGCCUGUAAUUCCAGCUACUCGGGAGGCUAAGACAGGAGAAUCACUUAAACCUGGGAGGCGGAGGUUGCAGUGAGCCAAGAUUGUGCCAUUGCACUCCAGCCUUGGCAACAAGAGCGAAACUCCAUCUGAAAAACAAAAAAAGAAAAAAAGAAAAGAAAAGAAAAAAGAAAAGGCACUACCAGAUCCUGAUAAAAUGAGGACAAGGUUGGUGGGAGUGUUAAUGAAAUUUGGUACGGGUGGCUAGGAUUAUGAAGCUAGGAAAAAUGAGCAUCUCAGAUGUCCUCUGAACGUGUGUCUUGAUGGGGAUAAAGAGAAAAUGGUAAACAAGUCAAAGAAAAUUAAUUCCUAAAAUAAUUGUAGUACUAGUAAUGGGGAUAUGGGCCACAAAGAUUCAAGAGGUUCAAGCGAUGUUAUUGAAUAGCACCGGCACAAUUUGGCUAAGUCUGGAGCCUAGACGACAGGAUAGUGAAGCUGUUUUUUAAAACUGCAAAAAUAGGAGCAAUACAGAACCUCAGGGAAGGAAGGGAAACGAGCUAUUUACCAGAUGACGUUAUCUGGUAUGAAAGUUAGUUAAGACAUCUAAGCCUCACACUCUUAGAUUUGUGGGAUAUGCAGAAAGCAACUGACAAUAAACAGGGGCCUGGAACCUGAGAGAGAUGUCAACCAAGAAGUAAAAUCUGUAAUGAUCUUUGCAGUUGUUAUAUGACAUUGCCAGGAAAGAAGAAGAGAAAACAAGGCCAAAGACAGCACCUGAGAUACAUACAUUGCAUUAGUCAGGGCCUAGAGGGACAGAACUAAUAAUAUGUAUAUAUCUCCUUGAGGAACAAGGAGAGCCAGUCUGAGUCCCAAAACCAAAGAACAUGGAGUCUAAUGUUUGAGGGUAGGAAGCAUCCAGCACGGGAGAAAGAUGUAGGCUAGGAGGCUAGGGCCAGUCUCUCCUUUUCACGUUUUUCUGCCAGCUUUAUAUUUGCUGGCAGCUGAUUAGACAGUGCCCACCCAAUUAAGAGUGGGUCUGCCUUUCCCAGCCCACUGACUUAAAUGUUAAUCUCCUUUGGCAACACCCUCACAGACACACCCAGGAUCAAUACUUUCUAUCCUUCAACCCAAUCAAGUUGACACUCAAUAAUAUUAACCAUCACAAACACUUAGAAGACAGGAAGAGCAAACAAGAAGGAACUAGGAAAGGAAUGGUUAGAGAGCUAGGGAGUGGGAGCAGGAGUAUGAGUAUGUAAAAGGCCACUUUUUAUGAGCCAGAUACUGCCAACAUGCAAAAACCAAAAGAAAAGUACCCCAUGCCUUGCAGGAAGGUCACUUCCAAAGUCAUAUCUUACCCACAGCACCAGCAAAAUCCUAAGAAGUCACAAAUAAGAGCUAGCUCCACAAAUGACUCAGUAACAAAGUUUAAACAGGUAUGUGGGAGGUUAUUAUGUUAAAAAAAAUUUUCCGAAAUAUUAUUAGUAAUAGCACCCCAUAAGGGAAGAAGGGCACUAUUAAAUAAACUCCCAUUAAAUUUGAGAGCAGGUAAAAGAAAAAAAGACUUUAUGAGGGUCUCAUAAAAGCAGUAUAAGAAGCUGAAAAGAGCAAUAAAGCAGGAAGCAAACCUAAAUAAAAUUUUGCCCUGGUUCUGUCACUAUUAUCAGAUGCGUGAUCCAGGCAUGUCACAAACCCAGCUGAGUCUCCAAUAAGAAAGUUAAGUGGAAUAAUCACUAAGCUUCUUUUGAACACUGAACUUCCAUGAAAACCCAUCAGUACUCUAACAAAAGAAAAAGGAAAAUGCCCCAAAAUUGAGGGGACAAUUAUACUAUGGGUACACCAAUACCGUCAAACACUGUGAAGCCAUUAAAAACAAUACUGCAGAAGACUAACUUCAUGGAAACAUUCAUAGUACUGCUCAUUCAACCAGUUUGUAUUACAUUCCUAGCAAGUGCUAGGACAGGCCAGGGGUUAGAGAAUCAAAGAGGAAUAAGACAAGAAUAAGAUUAUAGUCUAGUAAAUAGGCAAUGACAACAAUAUAUAAAGUUAUAAAUGCUAUGAUAGAAAAAGGUUUUAUUUUAUUUUGUUGAGUCUUAACUUUUUUUUAGAUAGGCUAACUCUAUCACCUAGGCUGGAAUGCAGUGGCACAAUUACAGCUCAUUGUAGCCUCGACCUCCUGGACUCAGGUGAUCCUCCCACCUCAGCCUCCCGAAUAGUUGCAACUACAGGUCAUUAUCAAAGUCUGAUUGCAAAAAUUCACUACGCCACCACACCUGGCUAAUUUUUUGUAUUUUUAGUAGUGACAGGGUUUCACCAUGUUGCCCAGGCUGAUUUCUAACUCCUGGCCACAAGUGAUCCGCCCACUUCGGCUUCCCAAAGUGCUGGGAUUACAGGCAAGAGCCACUGCACCUGGCCUUAAUGCAAAGAGGAGUUCAAAGAUGUUUUCUGGGUAUCAGACUAUCAAAGCUGACAUCUGAUCAGCCAGACCAACAUGGAAUAAGGGGAUGAGAGGCCCAGAAGCUAGGAAACAGCCCAGAAGGAGUAGGAAAUAACUAUGUGGAAUGGUAGAGAGAGAUGACAGGAGAGAAGUAAGCCACUGAGAUUUUAAAGAGUUUGUAUGUCGUGCUAAGGAGCCCUUGAGAACAACACAGAUUUAUAUGAACAGAUAACCUAUGAAACAUCCAACUGGAGAUUUCUGAUAGGCAGGUGGUUAUAAGAACAUUAAAAACUCAUGAGGCCGGGCGCGGUGGCUCACGCCUGUAAUCCCAGUACUUUGGGAGGCCAAGGCAUGUGGAUCACCUGAGGUCAGGAGUUUGAGAUCAGCCUGACCAACAUGGAAAAAAACCCUAUCUCAGCUAAAAAUACAAAAAUUAGCUAGGCAUGGUAGCGCAUGCCUGUAAUCCCAGCUACUUGGGAGGCUGAGGCAGGAGAAUCGCUUGAAUCCGGGAGGCAGAGGUUGCGGUGAGCCGAUAUCGCACCAUUGCACUCCAGCCUGGGCAACAAGAGCGAAACUCUAUCUCAAAAAACAAAACAAAACAAAAUUGUAUGAUUAGAUAUGCAGCUUUGGGAGUCCCAACAGAGAUAGUAACUAAGCCACCAGACUAGAUAAAUUCAACAGGAAGUAUGUAUGGUCACCAUAAAGGUGACAGACCCAAGGACACCUCCAGCACAUCAACAUUUAGGAAAAAGGCAGAGGAAUAAAGACCAUUCUCCUUAAAUGUUAAAUGAUAAGAUCAGGUAUUUAGGUAUGUUUUAAAAACUUAUUUAUACAUAGGAAAAAGACAUAAAAUGUUAAUAGUGGUUAUAUUAAGUGGUUAAAGAUUACAGGUGACUUUUCUUCAAAACCAACAGAAUGAAUGCAAAAUUAGAAAAUAAUUAAAUUUAUCUUUCAAGGUUAAAUGGGUGUUUCCUCCUAUUUCACAAUCAGUGUUAAAUGACUGGUCCUUAAUCAAAUGAUGAUAAAAUCAUGGAAAAGUUGUUACUAUAGACAGGAGGGCUUUUAAGACUUCUUUUAAUACAACUAGUUUAAUUGUAUAGAUAUAAAUCCAAAAGUCAAUUUCAAAGAAAUCGAAUUACAUCAGGGGUGGGGAGAGGCUCUUUAAUAAUCUUAAAGCACUCGUACUACCAUAAUUACAAUGGUAUUGUAACACAACACAUACACUUACCCUUUCUCUCCCUCCCACCACAGGACUACUUCCUGGACAAUCCAGGAAGUACUUUCUCCUGCUAGAUAAUGGCUCAGUACCUGCCCUUCUCUUCUGCUGCUGUCACCACAUGUACCAUUGGCCUGCGUUUAUAGCCUGCACACAGGGUAAGGCAAGUCCUGUUACUUUCCCAGUGAUGCACAUUUUUGUAAAGUUUGUAAAGCUUCCAUUUAUGCCUGUGUUCCAUUACUGGAACGCUAAGCAUGUGGGAGUUAUAUCCUACUGCUCAAUGUCCUUGCCAAGGUCUCAUUGCAAAAAUUUUAAAAAUUGCAACCUCCAGCAUAAAUGGGUUAAUGGCACACUCCACAGGACAAAGAACACCAUCUUACAAAAAUUAUGUGACAGACAAUGGAAAACAAACACAUCUGCCUUCUCCCCUACUGUCAGAUGCCCCAGAUGGGAUGAAGCCUGAUCUCCAAAGCAGAACAAUUACUGAGCCAUGACCCAGAAGUGACUGAGAAAAUGGCACUUCAUGGAACUAUAGUAAAAGAAAAGGCACACAAACAAAAUAUAGGUGCUAACAGUUUUGGUCCAGAAUUCUGACUAGGCUUGGAAAUCACUGACUUGAGUUUUAAGUUAAUAUUAAUACAAAGCAUUUACUGACAGACCACCUUAAUAAAGAUAAUGAACCCCAAAGAAGCUCACAAGUAGAUGUUAUUAAAUGACAACACAUCAUGGCAUAGUUGGUUUUUCUUUUCUUUUUUUUUUUUUUGGAGGUGGAGUCCUGAGCUUGUCGCUCAGGCUGGAGUGCAGUGGCGCGAUCUUGGCUCACUGUAACCUCCACCUCCCGGGUUCAAGCAAUUCUCCUGCCUCAGCCUCCAGAGUAGUUGGGAUUACAGGCACCCGCCACCAUGCCGGGCUAAUUUUUGUACUUUAAGUAAAGACGGAUUUCGCCAUGUUGGCCAGGCUGGUCUCGAACUCUGACUUCAGGUGAUCCGCCCGCCUCAGUCUCCCAAAGUGCUGGGAUUACAGGCAUGAGCCACCAUGUCCCGCCUGGUUUGUUUUUUAAAAAAUCUCUGGCCUUGGAGUCUGAAGCCCCAAGGAUUUUAUCACUAACUCCCUGAGUGAAUUUUGGCAAAUCAGAUGACCCAUAGGUUUAAUUUUGCCACCUAUGAAAUGAAGGCACUGGGCUAGAUUAGUGGCUUUCAAGAGUUUUUGGACUAUGAGCCAAAGUAACAAAUACAGUUUACACUGGGGUAUCUAUAUAUGCAAAAUACACAAAAGCUUCAUGAAACAACACUUUUUUUAAAGCUAGAAUGAACCUAUUAGGUAAAAUAAACAUAUUUUUACUAUUCUAUUUCAUCAUUAAAAAAAUGUUAAUGGCAACACUUGGCCCACUACUAGUAGUUUAAAUAACACUAGAUCUCUAAGCUUCAUUAAUUUGACUCUAAUUGUAUUCAAUGAACUUAAGUUAUUUAAUAUUUUGCAAACAUCAGCCACUAGGUGCUCAAUUUUCUUUGUCCUGUGUAUUCAUAAAUGGCAACUAUUUAUUGCUGACUUAUACUUACUUUUCAGCUUGAAAACCAGUGCUAAGUACACUUGGAUCACCCAACUAGUUGGCUUUACGUUACUGUGAAAAUCACAUGAAGUAACUUAUGUGUAUAUAAGCAUUUUGAAACUGCUGUAACCACCUGUAAGAUAUUAGCCAAAUACACAGUAAAGCGGCCACUCAAAAUCUUUACGUAGCUGUUUUAAAUAAGGCAAUGCAAUGUAACUUGCAACAUUUUCACUUUAUCCAAAAUGUAAAUAGCAAAACUACCUUUUAAAUAUGUGUGCUUUUUAAUGUAUCCAAUGCACUUGGAGAGGAACCUUAGAUCAAAAUGAGACAAACAUACUAAAGACUUAAAUGUGUAAAAAUAAAACCAGGAAACAUCUUAAAUGAAUGAUAAAAUCCUGGGGGUAGACACACCAGGAGUCCUAGCAACUUUACAAGGUCAAAAAAGAUGUGAUUUUUUUUCCUUCCACCCCCUACAACAAAUACAUAAUCUUUUUCUCCCACCACCUACAUAAAAUUUGAUUAAAAAAAGUCAAAAAGACAACUAGAAAAAAAAUUUGCAAAAUGACAAAAGGCUGUUUUUCUUAAAAAAAAAAAAAAAAAAAAAAAAGCUGUUACCAAAAACUGUAAGGUUUUUUUUUUUGAGAUGGAGACUUGCUUUGUCGCCCAGGCUGGAGUGCAGUGGUGCGAUCUCAGCUCACUGCAACCUCCACCUCCUGGGUUCAUGCAAUUCUCCUGCCUCAGCCUCCCAAGUAGCUGUGAUUACAGGCAGGUGCCACCACACCCGGCUAAUUUUUUUUUUUUUCAUUUUUAGUAGAGACAGGGUUUCACCAUGUUGGCCAGGCUGGUCUUGAACUCCUGCCCUCAAGUGAUCCACCCACCUCAGCCUCCCAAAGUGCUGGGAUUACAGGUGUGAGCCACCGCGCCCGGCCCCAAAAAUGUAAGGUUUUAAAAGAGAUAACACAGGUAAAAAUAGCCUCAGUGCUGAUGAAGGUAUGAGACACCACUACAUACCGUUGGGAGUAUAAAUUGUUAGAAACUUCCUGGAAAGCACAUGAAAACAAGUUUUCAAAAUGUAAAAAGUACAUAUGAAUGGCCUAGAAAUCCCAUCGGUAUAAAUAUAUACCAAGGAAAUAAAUGUGCAAAAAUGUACAUGAAAAGGGUGAAUAUAGGGAAACCUGUCUAAAAAUCUUUAGUAACAUGGAAAGAUGCCCACAAUAUACUCAGAAUAUAAAACAACACUUUAUGAUCCUUUUGUUUUAAAAAAAAUGUUAUACACAAUUCAGUAACAUAUAUACCAGAAUGUUAAUAGUAUCUCUGAGGUAUGAUGACAUCUGGCAGCAAGCCCAUACAGUCCCUUCAAGAGAAUUAAAAAAAGAAUCCUUCCUGGCAGACAUAUCCCCAGAGGCACAGAGCUCUCCAAACUGAUCCUGCCUUUGCAAGAAUUAGAACAAGGUGCCCCUUCUCUAGGCAGACCCAACCAUGGUCUAGGAUACACAGCCUGGCAAGCUGAAUAUGGAUUUCGGCCUCCUCUCACGACUCCCUCACAUAUCCUUAGAGGGAUACCCUUACAUUGGGACAGGAUUAUGGUUAAUUUUCACCUAUAUAUGCCAUUCUUCACUGACUUACUAUUAUUACAAUAAACAAAAAAUUUACUGAUAAGAGUAAUACUUAUCGAUUUUGAAGAGAUUGACUUAAUCCUUCCAAAAUGAAUCCCAACUUCACUUGUACUAGUUUUACAGUCCUUACACAUUGCUCUCUAUUUAUUUGUGCAUGUUAUCUAUUUAAAUGCAUUGACUCAAUAAAAUAAAAUCUCUACCCUAGGUCAUACAAUACAAAGGUUGAAGAGCACUAUCUGCAGUAAGAAAUGUCAUUCUAACACAAAGUGGAGUUACUCCGUUCUGGAAAUGAGGAAGCACUGGGGAAGGGAGAAAGGGAGGAAGGUAGCCUAUCAAAAUUAAUCUCUCUCCACCACUCAAAAAUUUCUUCAGCAAAAAGUUAGUACACUCUAGAAACAAGCAAUUAAGCUUUAUAAAUGUUCAUCUUUUGUUCCCAUGUAAGUCUGGAUGCAAGAUUUAUUUCUUCAUCACACUAGUGGGUUCCCAAAAGAAAACAGCAAUUUAAAUAAAAAUCAUGAGUGAUUACCAUGCAGUUAGGCAAGGCAUCUGUAAAAUAAUACAACCGCUGGACUAGGAUUAAAGGAGAACUGGGUUCUUUUCUUGGCUUUGUGGCAUAUGUAAUUUUACACAAGGCAAAAAUCACAACCUCUCUGGGUCUCAUUUUUCUCAUCUCUAAAGUGGGGGUUGGGCUAAAAAUCCUCCAAGGCCCCUUUCAGCUUGUGAUAAGACUUCAAGUCGCCUUUUCACCCUGAAGGAGUCCAUUUCAGUCUGCACCAACAGUUUAUUUUCUGAGUCACAGCUUAUUUCUCCAUGCUUAUCCUAAAAAUGUUGUGCCCAAAUAGUUCUAAGCUCUCGAGAUUUAUUCCCACUCAGAAAGAAAUGGUCUUUCAAGACCCACUAACAAAAUGUUUCAAAAGGAUUUAAAAAGGUAAAAUUAGUUUACUUAAGUAUAAAGGCAAAAAAAAAAAAAAGCUCUAGCCUGCAUUCAGAGAUUGAUACAAUUUUAGGAAAAAAAGGCAUCCUAAAGCUACUCUACACGGUAGAUGGUUUAAAUAUAUUAAAACAAAGAGCUCACGCAUAGAAAAAAUCUGCUAACAUACAACCAUCACUCUCCUGUUUUGAAGACACGGGAAAAAAAAAAAAAACCUGUGUUGUUCAGACAGGAUUUACUUUCCCCAAAGAAGCAAAUUUGUAAGGAAGAAAACCUCUGUAAUUAAAAAGGAAUCCGGGAGGAACCAACCUUUUUAAGGGCCUUUUCACUGUCCAAAUUCAAGUGCAUUUUCUUGUACAAUGUACUUCUGUGAUUAACUCACCGCUACACGUUUAAGCAACCCACACCCACACUUAACACUCAGUCGCACUCUUCCGACCGGUCGGGGUGGCAGCGUGGACGAGUCACAAGAUAGCGGCGGGAGUGGAAAUUUCCUCUCCCCUGGAGUGGGGCAGGGUCUGGCUUCUCCGAACCGCUCAGCGGGCCGGGCGCCUCCGCCAGGGCCUCUCGGGCCGGAGCGCUCCGUACAAAGGAGGCCCGGGGGCUCGGCUCCUGCACUCUCGGGGCCCGGCUUCGGGCAGGGGUCCCCGGCUUCCGGCGCCGCGCC
rnacentral:lncRNA from 1 species